rnacentral:rRNA from 1 species
CAGUCGCCGCGGGAAUACGUAGGUGGCAAGCGUUGUCCUGAAUUAUUGGGCGUAAAGGGCUCGCAGGCGGUUUCUUAAGUCUGAUGUGAAAGCCCCCGGCUCAACCGGGGAGGGUCAUUGGAAACUGGGAAACUUGAGUGCAGAAGAGGAGAGUGGAAUUCCACGUGUAGCGGUGAAAUGCGUAGAGAUGUGGAGGAACACCAGUGGCGAAGGCGACUCUCUGGUCUGUAACUGACGCUGAGGAGCGAAAGCGUGGGGAGCGAACAGGAUUAGAUACCCCCGUAGUCCCUGUCUCUUAUAC